UACGUAGGGAGCAAGCGUUGUCCGGAAUCAUUGGGCGUAAAGCGCGCGUAGGCGGCCUCAUAAGUCCGUUGUGAAAGUCAAAGGCUCAACCUUUGAAAGCCGAUGGAUACUGUGAGGCUAGAGUCCGGAAGAGGCGAGUGGAAUUCCUGGUGUAGCGGUGGAAUGCGCAGAUAUCAGGAGGAACACCGAUGGCGAAGGCAGCCCCCCUGGGUUAACACUGACGCUCAUGCACGAAAGCGUGGGGAGCAAACAGG
rnacentral:rRNA from 1 species